CCUACGGGGCGCACCAGUAGGGAAUAUUGGACAAUGGGGGCAACCCUGAUCCAGCAAUGCCGCGUGAGUGAUGAAGGCCUUAGGGUUGUAAAGCUCUUUUACCCGGGAUGAUAAUGACAGUACCGGGAGAAUAAGCCCCGGCUAACUCCGUGCCAGCAGCCGCGGUAAUACGGAGGGGGCUAGCGUUGUUCGGAAUUACUGGGCGUUAAGCGCACGUAGGCGGCGAUUUAAGUCAGAGGUGAAAGCCCGGGGCUCAACCCCGGAACUGCCUUUGAGACUGGAUUGCUUGAAUCCGGGAGAGGUGAGUGGAAUUCCGAGUGUAGAGGUGAAAUUCGUAGAUAUUCGGAAGAACACCAGUGGCGAAGGCGGCUCACUGGACCGGCAUUGAGGCUGAGGUGCGAAAGCGUGGGGAGCAAACAGGAUUAGAUACCCGGGUAGUC
rnacentral:rRNA from 1 species